CCUACGGGAGGCAGCAGUGGGGAAUCUUGGACAAUGGGGGCAACCCUGAUCCAGCCAUGCCGCGUGAGUGAUGAAGGCCUUAGGGUCGUAAAGCUCUUUCGCCUGUGAUGAUAAUGACAGUAGCAGGUAAAGAAACCCCGGCUAACUCCGUGCCAGCAGCCGCGGUAAUACGGAGGGGGUUAGCGUUGUUCGGAAUUACUGGGCGUAAAGCGCGCGUAGGCGGAUUAGUCAGUUAGAGGUGAAAUCCCAGGGCUCAACCCUGGAACUGCCUUUAAUACUGCUAGUCUUGAGUUCGAGAGAGGUGAGUGGAAUUCCGAGUGUAGAGGUGAAAUUCGUAGAUAUUCGGAGGAACACCAGUGGCGAAGGCGGCUCACUGGCUCGAUACUGACGCUGAGGUGCGAAAGUGUGGGGAGCAAACAGGAUUAGAUACCCUGGUAGUCCACACCGUAAACGAUGAAUGCCAGUCGUCGGCAAGCAUGCUUGUCGGUGACACACCUAACGGAUUAAGCAUUCCGCCUGGGGAGUACGGUCGCAAGAUUAAAACUCAAAGGAAUUGACGGGG
rnacentral:rRNA from 1 species